ensembl:snRNA
AUUUUUUUUUAAAGGAGAGGAUGUAAGAGGUACUAGUGGCCUACAGCACACAUAUGGUUAAGGCGUUGCCACCCACUUCAUGGAAUCUCUAACCAUUUUUUUAG